rnacentral:rRNA from 1 species
AUUGAACGCUGGCGGCAUGCUUUACACAUGCAAGUCGAACGGCAGCGCGGGGCAACCUGGCGGCGAGUGGCGAACGGGUGAGUAAUACAUCGGAACGUACCCAGAAGUGGGGGAUAACGUAGCGAAAGUUACGAUAAUACCGCAUACGUUCUACGGAAGAAAGUGGGGGACCUUCGGGCCUCAUGCUUUUGGAGCGGCCGAUGUCUGAUUAGCUAGUUGGUAGGGUAAAGGCCUACCAAGGCGACGAUCAGUAGCUGGUCUGAGAGGACGACCAGCCACACUGGGACUGAGACACGGCCCAGACUCCUACGGGAGGCAGCAGUGGGGAAUUUUGGACAAUGGGCGCAAGCCUGAUCCAGCAAUGCCGCGUGAGUGAAGAAGGCCUUCGGGUUGUAAAGCUCUUUUGUCAGGGAAGAAACGGCUGAGGUUAAUACCUUCGGCUAAUGACGGUACCUGAAGAAUAAGCACCGGCUAACUACGUGCCAGCAGCCGCCGUAA